GGUGUUGCCCUUAUAUGAAUGAUCCCAAAUGUCUCCCUACCUCCAUGAUCCAGAGCAAAGGCUGGCACAAGGGAGGGAGCGGAAAACGGAGAAAGUCAACUUCUCAGCACCCACAGAGCAAAGUGCUGACCCAGCCAGCGAGGGGCACUGGGACCAGAGCUGACUCCGGAGCAGCUGGCGAUGUGCAGGGCCCAUUCAUCAUGCAGCUUCCUGAGCGGCAGCUAGAGUUAGCAUCCUCAAAUAUGAAAAUAAUUGGUGCUCAGUAAUAAAGGCUGUGAGUACAUGUGGGCAAGAGAACGAGAUUUCGCUGGAAUGACAGAUGGAGUCAUGGUCCCAGGAAGCAGGUAAGGAUUUGGACGUUGAUCCUGCAUAGCCCAACCGUUGCUGUGGAGGGGAGAGCGGCACGCGAAACCAGUACCAGGGGCCCC